AUGUUCAGACGUAGGCUUACCCCUGAAUUAUCCAAGCAAUGGGAAGAUAUGCGUGCUGUGGUCAAUAAAAUCCCCCUUACUGAGAGGGAUGAUCGUAUUUUCUGGGGACUCAACCGGAAUGGCAAGUUCACCACUAAGUCCGUAUAUAAAAUGCUGGAGAAACCCUUGAGUGGGUGCCAUUAUAGAUGGAUUUGGAAAGCCAAGAUCCCUCUUAAAAUCAAGAUCUUUCUGUGGCAAAUGUCGCAAGACGCAGUCCUUACUAGACAAGUGAUGAGCAAAAGAAAUUGGACAGGGAAUCCCUGUUGCUCUUUCUGCAAACAGGUGGAAACGGUAAAGCACUUGUUCUUUACUUGUCCCGUGGCCAGAAUUGUUUGGCGAUCCAUUGGAGUAGCUCUUGGCACCGAUAGAUGCCCGUCGAACUACUGGCAAUACUUUGUGUGGUGCCACAAAUUCCUUCCUAGGAAGCAAAAGUUUCAUACGGUGGGACUAGCGGCCAUAUGUUGGGCCAUUUGGUUGGCACGCAAUCGAGCUACUUUUGAAAAGAAACAAAUUAAGACUCCUUUUGAGAUUGUGUUUUCUCUAUGUUCCUUUCUAUUAUAUUGGACAGGGCUUCAACAAGGAGAGGACGCUAAGGAUCUUCGCGCUGGAGCUGAGAUGAUCAGGACUGAGACGAUGAAGCUGAUGAAGAUGUGUGGUGCUAUCAAGAAACCAAUCCAAGGUGCCUGA
rnacentral:rRNA from 1 species